rnacentral:rRNA from 1 species
AGCGAACGCUGGCGGCAGGCCUAACACAUGCAAGUCGAACGAAGUCUUCGGACUUAGUGGCGGACGGGUGAGUAACACGUGGGAACGUGCCUUUAGGUUCGGAAUAACUCAGGGAAACUUGUGCUAAUACCAAAUGUGCCCUUCGGGGGAAAGAUUUAUCGCCUUUAGAGCGGCCCGCGUCUGAUUAGCUAGUUGGUGAGGUAAAGGCUCACCAAGGCUACGAUCAGUAGCUGGUCCGAGAGGAUGACCAGCCACAUUGGGACUGAGACACGGCCCAAACUCCUACGGGAGGCAGCAGUGGGGAAUCUUGCGCAAUGGGCGAAAGCCUGACGCAGCCAUGCCGCGUGGAUGAUGAAGGUCUUAGGAUUGUAAAAUCCUUUCACCGGUGAAGAUAAUGACUGUAGCCGGAGAAGAAGCCCCGGCUAACUUCGUGCCAGCAGCCGCCGUAAUAC